AGUACCAGAAGAAGACUGAGGCCCGGAGAGACAUAGGAGCUAGAGAAACAGCUGUCUUAUCAGCACACUGCAGAGAUGGAGAUGGCUCAAGAGGUCCUCAACAGAUAAUCACUUGAAUAGGUUAUGAUGAUAUAGCUGGAUCCAAAGACCCAUUUCCAGUCACUGGUACAGUAAUUAGAAAUGGUUUCAACCGAAAACAAAGUCCUCGGGGGCACUUAUCUUUUUCCUUCCUUUCCCACCCUUCUGAAGUGAAAGAGCAGAUGACCCUGCCCCAAACGUGAUUAUGCAGGUCCCUUACAACAUAGUGCAUCCCAGUCAUCUCCAUGGCAACGGCCGGUGACGACUUAGAAGGCAACUAGAUCCCCGAACAGAAAAAAAAAAAAAGUUUGAAGAAUACUGGGCACAAUUAAUUCUUUGAAAAAUGUGCAGAGGCGGCGAGUCGAUUGAAAAUGCAGGACUGA